UAAUACGUUACGAGACUGGCAAGCUUGGCUACUGCUACGUUUACUGCGAAGCCACCGAAGUCGAAGACUGAGUCUAACCCACCUGAAUUUGCUGUACCUAAUGUGUGGAUCAUUGAAGACUGCUAUGUUUGCUGUGGAGAGGAGGUGGCAAGGAGGUCCCUGAGCUCUAACCUGGGACUAAAUGCAGGUGAAAUGGCUUGGCUGGGGUCGACUGAGGUGGCAUAGCAUCCUUCUCCUUUUUGCCUAGUCCCUGAAGAGUGGAUUUUGCCGCAGAGAUGAAGCAGAACCUGUGUGAUCUCCAUCCCCCCCCACAUGACCAUUAUCAUAUUUUUAUGCUUUGUGUUGGGUCUCAUGCCCCAUCCACACAACUUUGCAUUGUUUCUUAGAGACCAGGUUAAUCUGUCUGGGGCAAUUAAUAUUUUUAAAAUAUUGUUGAAUGUCUGUAUCCAGCCGAAUUCAGUAGGCAACCUGCAUUUUGAUGGCACUGAACUUGCACUUACAAAUGGUUAUGGAACUUUUCUAAGAGAUGCUGUUACUGAUACUGAUGGACUGUUACACCCUUUCCUUUACUUAUGUCAAAACCAAUGUCUGUUCAUUAACAAAAUUACUGUUGAUGGCACUGAAGUUGAAAAUAAAAACACAAAUGUUUAUGGGACUUUUCUGGUCAACUGUGACCUACAUUUAACUUGUCAAACCAGUUUUGUCUAUGCUGUCAAACAUUUACGAUUAAAUUGCAGUGGGAGCAAAAACAAUCAGUAGGUUGAAUUAAAGACCCAGAUGCGGAA